AAGUAGAACAUAAGCUCCAUAGGGGCAAGGACUCUAUUUUGUUCCCUGGAGUGCCCAGGAGAGUGACUGGCAAAUAGCAGAUCACUGAGCAAUAGAUUUCAUUGCCAAUGGACUCCUGAGGACACAAAUAGCUCGUGUCCUCUGUCUCUUGCCUCGGCGCCUGGGUGGCUUGCCGCCCACAAUGGAUGACCUAGAAGUUGAUGUCAAAUAAAUUUCCCAAAAUGGAAGAGGAGAAAGACAUAUCUUUUUACCCUUUGAUAAAGAGAACAGAUAAUCAUAACAGAGAAUCAAUUUAGGAGUUCCAGCAUCUAACAGAUACAUUUCCCUUCAAGCAUGUUUUCUGUACACCACAAGUUUUCCUUUCUUUCCUUGUCAUUCACUCUUAAAUGUUUUAUAAUUUUUCAUGCUGACUUUUUUGCUAAGAAAUGUUAUUUAGAAUUGUGUCUUUGAAUGAGUAAAUAUCAAUCAUUUGUUUUGCUUUUCUUCCUCUUCUUUUUUUCUGUACUGCCAGAGACAUGGGAAUCCCUGCCUUAUGCCCAAGCUUGGCACGAAUUCAUGUUCCAAUCACUCAUAAGUGACUCUAUUUCUAUUUUCUCAUAUGGCUUAGAAGGGAUCAACAAGUAGAGAUUUUUCUACCCUCAUUCAUAGAUAGAACAUUAUUUUCUGGUUCCCUGUGAUGCACAAAACUUGAGACCUUACAUCCCAGGCCUGUGUGAUCAUAAGUCCCCAUUCCCUCGUACAUGUAUUUGGUCUACAUUUCUCCCUCCCCAUCCUCAGUUCACCCAGGGACUUCGUGGAUCAGAUGUGCUCAUUGCUUUAAACGUAGGUUUCCUUUUCAUUUUUGACACCCGGAAUGUUUUUCUAUUUUUACCUUUCAGCUUAACAAUGUAUGUGUAAACAUCACAUUUUAUCCAUGUAUGUCUGCUUAUUGCAGUAGCACAGGUGACUCUUGCCUAUAGUCAGUUUGACAUCUUUACCAGAAGGUACGUUGGCUCUUUCUCCCAGUUCACCAAUGUGCUCUUUAGCUAUGACCUUCGUAUUAUCCAAUGUCUUGAGUUUUUAUUUCAUCAACUUUUUCUUUUCUUUUUUCCCACUUAUUUAAAUUGAUAAUAAUUAUGUAUGUUUAUGGGGCACGAUGUGAUGUUUUGAUCUAUGUAUUCAUUGAGAAAAAUUAAAUCAAGCUAAUUAACAUAUGUAUCACCUCACCAACUUAUUUUUUUAUGGUAAAAACACUAAAAACAUUGUAGCAAUUUUGAAAUAUACAAUACAUUAUUAUUAACUG
rnacentral:lncRNA from 1 species